AGCGUGCGCGGGGAAACAAUCUCGCUACAUCAACAAUACGUAUCUAUAAUAUCUUUGACCUGUGUCAACUUUAUCAUGUUGUUUCGUUCGACUGUUUCAUGCAGAGUUUUAUGUUUUUAAAAUGUUCAGUUUCACGUUGAUGCUAAAAAUAGACGCACGCGGUGAAAUUAGCUAGCAACGGUUGCUAUGUUAGACGUUUCUAUGGCAACGCGUAACAAAGUCACGUGAUGCACACUCGGGUACUACACACGCACAGUCGUUUAGAGUGUGGUUUAAGUUCACCACUACAGCAGCAAUGUUAGCUGUUGUGCUACACACUCAGAGUUGUUCAGAGUGAGUUUUGAAUUCACCACUACAGCUACAGCAGUAAUGUUAGCCGUUGCUAUGACAACGCAUAACAAAGUCACGUGAUGCACAUACGUGUGCAACACACUCACAGUCGUUCAGAGUGUGUUUUAAGUUCACCACUACAUCAGCAAUGUUACCCGUUGCUAUGACAACGCGUAACAAAGUCACGUGAUGCACAUUUGUGUGCUACACACUCACAGUCCACGCCGUUCAGAGUGUGUGCCGAGUUCACCACUACAGCAGCAACUUCCACUCCUGUGAUAAAAUGUUUUUUCGUUGUCCACCUUUCUUCGAAGAAAGUCAUCCUUCGUGAGACAUUCGAGUUUUAAUGGGGAUCAUCAUAUGCUCGUUUGGUCUGCUCGCCACACGUUUCUGGGGUCUAAUCGGGACAACGACGACGACCGAAUGGUAGAAACGUGACGCGGAUAAAAUUUGGUUUUGUCAAUUCAUCAUAGGCAACUCAAUGAGCACCCCUUUUCCGAAGUUUGCUCAACUUUACGGAGUGUGUGUGGAAACCAGGAACGUUAAUGUAUUAAAUAAAUUUGAAGAGCCACGUUAAUUACAUACGCCGGACUUUGUCCCGUGGUAAGUUAAUGUGAAUUGAAUUAUUGUAAUUAUCAAAUUAUCAUACAUUCUUGCCGAGUUACAUUUGUUUUUCAUGUAAGCAUUCUAUUUUCGAACAAUCCCCACAACAUAAACAUUGUGCUGAAUUUCA